UUCAGUUCUUUUCACUUAUGAUACUUUUAAUGGAAAUUUAAAAGAACUGCUCUUACUGUAAUUUAAGAACAUAUGUACGUACUUGAUUAAUAUGUUCAGUGGCAGCAAGUUGAGGUUAUUGUUAUGUAAUUUGAGAUUUGGUCCCUGAAUUUGGAAAUUUGAUUAGGUUGUCCUGGUAUGAUGAGGAAUAUUAAAUAUGUUCAAUUAGCAAAUUUUGACAGAAACUACUAAUGACUGAAAUGAUUGGACUAGGGUUUUUAAAUCGAAAUGUAGGAAUGCAUUUUUAACUUUUAAACUACAUUGAUCAAAUCUCAAAUUCUAUACAAGUAUUGGGUCUAACCUUACAUUUUAACCUUUAGAAAUUUUGCAUGGUUAGUGAAAAAUUAGUAAAUACAAGUUGCAUCGACGAUACCUGUUUAUGUUGUAUCUCAUUGAUAAAACAACAUAAUUUAGUAGAAUUAGGAGCUGAAUGAAAGCUCCAUAGGUCUACUGUUGCAUUUAGAAAUUUUUUGGUCUCAAGCUGCCAGUUCACUUCUUAAUAUAUUUGCUUGUUUACUUCAACCCAUCUCUGGGUUUCGGUCCAUAUUUGUUGUUCAUUUGGUCUUGGUUUGAACAUUCGUGUUCCAGUGUUUGAUCGACGAUUUGGAGUUCAAUAUUUUAAAUUGCUUCAUUCUAUUUGUUUUUGCACUUUAAAAGAAUUCUGUUGGGUUUGAUAUCGUAAUUUUGCACAAACAGGUCGGAGCUCCUGCUCGUGUUGGUCUAGUUGCACCAAUUGAUGUGGUUGUUCCACCAGGCAACACUGGGCUUGACCCAUCACAGACCUCUUUCUUCCAGGUAAUGUCACUGUUCUGAUUUUUGCGUGUUCUACUUGUCUGAGUCAAAACUCAAUUCUGAUUGUAAAUUUCUUAUUACGUUUUAGGUGCUGAAUAUUCCAACCAAGAUUAACAAGGGUACUGUCGAAAUUAUCACCCCUGUCGAGCUUAUCAAGAAAGGUGAAAAGGUUGGUUCUUCUGAGGCUGCACUUCUUGCCAAGCUUGGAAUCAGGCCCUUCUCAUACGGUCUUGUCGUCCUAUCUGUUUACGACAAUGGCUCAGUCUUUAGCCCUGAGGUCCUGGAUCUCACCGAGGAAGACCUGAUUGAGAAAUUUGCUACUGGUGUCUCCAUGGUCACCGCAUUGUCUCUUGCCAUCUCAUACCCAACUCUUGCUGCUGCACCACACAUGUUCAUCAAUGCAUACAAGAACGUCUUGUCUGUCGCAGUUGCAACAGAGUAUUCUUUCCCUC
rnacentral:lncRNA from 1 species